GGAUGAGAAAUCCUCAGAACCACCGUCGUCUCUGACUCUUCCUUCACUUCCUGAAGAUGUCAUCGUCGACAUCUUAGCGCGUUUAUCAAGAUGCGACCAUCCAACACUCUCACUUGUUUCCAAGCACUUUCGGUCACUCGUUGCUUCGGCUGAGCUAUACUCAAGAAGAUCCUUGUUGGCCUGCACUGAGGACUAUCUAUAUGUUGUCCUCGAUGACAAAAACUCCUGUUAUUUUUACCAUUGGUAUAUCCUCUGCCGGAAAGCCAACGGCAGUCACUGCUUGGUUCGUGCCCCCUCGACGUUUCCCAUUUUGUAUUACGCUGCAAGCUUUGUGGCAGUGGGUUCUAGGAUAUAUGUUUUUGGUGAGAUUGACCAUACAAAUAUGACGACAAAUGCGUUUUGCAUGGAUUGUAGAACCCACAAGGUGGAACCCAUCCCAAGCAUCCCUCUUCUUUUGGUUUGUAAAUUCACUGGCUUCAUCCACGGGAAAAUAUAUGUAACUGGAUAUUGCUAUCAUGACAAUACAAAGAAUGUGAUGGUGGUGUUCGAUACAGAAACACAAAUGUGGGAGCAUGCGAUGAUUAAACCAGAGAGAUGAGAGUAAGCUGUGCUUGUGUGGUUUGUAAAUUCACUGUCCUCAUCCGCCGUCAUACUCGCCGGACUUCCACCGUCAUUAUCUCGAACCGGCUCUGUCCCUUUUGAAAGGUUACAAAUUUUGGUCUAUAUUUAAGUUUAAUUAUCAGUUUAGGUUUUGAUUAUCAGUUUAGGUUAUCGAUUAGUGAUGAUUCUGUGUUUGGUUAGGGUUUUAACUAUUUAGGUUUGGUUAAUUUCUUGGCAGAUGUCAGGAAAUGAUUCUCUGUCCCUUUUGAAAGGUUACAAAUUUUGGUCUAUGUUUAAGUUUAAUUAUCAGUUUAGGUUUUGAUUAUCAGUUUAGGUUAUCGAUUUGUGAUGAUUCUGUGUUUGGUUAUGGUUUUAACUAUUUAGGUUUGGUUAAUUUCUUGGCAGAUGUCAGGAAAUGAUUAUAGCCGCUAUCUAUCUACUGGUGGUAAGAAGACUUCUGGUGGUAAGAAGACUUCUGGUAGUACGAAAAGUUCAUCCCGUCAUACCAAUCCGGGUAGUUCUUCUAGUUCUCAGAUGGCCGAGAGUUUGGCUGUUCCUAAUAGCCAGACGCAAGCUUCCCCUCCAGCUCCCGCCCCAGCUCCUCCAGCUCCCGCCCCAGCUCCUGCAGCUCCCGCCCCAGCUGCAGCUGCAGCUGCUCCCGCCCCAGACCCGGCGGCAGAUUUAGCGGCAAUCAAUAUGAUUUUGGCUAGUCCUGGACAUGAUCGUCUUCCUCACCUCCAUCCAGAUCGCCCUCCAAAUACGCUUUGGUAAGUUUUUUAAUUUUAAUUCAUUGUAACCAUUUAUAAUAUUUUCAUAUUCUUAUAAUUUAGUCCUCUCAAUUGCCUUGAAUUUCCUGUGAUAGGUUUGAUGACGAUGUAAGCGUUGCUGCAUCGGUCCGUCGAAUCUUUGAAAGAGAUUUCAAAGAACCGCAUGCUAAUUGGAAGCAAACCCCCGGGGAUGUUGUGAGACGUUGGUUUGAAUCAUUUGCGCAAAUGUAUCAUUGGGAUUCCGGUAUAACAUCCCUCGUUCGCAACUCUUUCGAGGCUAAAUUGAAACUCCAGUUGACUCGCCAAGUUAGUCGGUGGAAGAGUAACUGGCGGAAAAAAGGCGAUGCAGCUAUGCCUUUGUGGUUUGACCCAAAUGUUUGGGCUGGUCUUGUUGCUUAUUGGUUAGAUCCAGAAUCUGAAGUCCGGAGUUGUAACAGUCGGGCAGCUCGUUACUCUGACCCUGAUGGACAUGGACCGUCUAAGCAUCGUUCAGGUCAGACUUCCUUCAGGGCCCGUGCACGAGUGAUUGUAAGUUCUUGUUUUUCUUAUCUUAGUUAAUUUAAGUUGUGUUCUGAAAUUGCCUAUUUUAUCUAAGUUGUGAUCUCAUUUUUAAGGUUUAACUUGAUCUUUUAAAUUGUAGGCUGGGCAAACUGGAUGUUCUAUUCCAGACUUGCUUGGGGUUCUCGAGAUCACUAAACGAAACCCGGAUGGUUCUUUUGUUGAUGGCAAAUCUGAGCAGCUCUACAACGAUGUGACAUCUAAAUUUCAGGAAUUAUCUCAGGCUGUUAGUGAUGAUCCCGAGAGCACUGGUUCUAGUGGCCUCUCUCCAAUGGAAAAGAACAAGAUCUAUUGUGAGUUCGCUCCCCGCAAAAAGGGACGACUGUAUGGAGUGGGUUCUCUAAAUACAUCUUUACGAUCUGUUCCUGCUUCGUUUCCUUCUAGCAGUACUAGAGACCAAUCUUUGGAGAAGAUCAUCUAUGACCAAGCUCAAAAGAUUGAGAGCCAGGGAAAUGAAAUUUUGAAGCUGUACAAGAUCGUUCGUCAUCUCGCUAGCAAAGACUCUACCGUGGCCGACAUUCUCUAGUCUGAAGACGUGUCUUCUGCUUCUGGUGAUGAUGAUGAAUCUGAUGCUAUUUAGUUUGUUUUCUAUCACUUUCUAAUGACUUGAAACUUUUUUGUAUGUGUUUGUGUAAUGACUCUUGAAUUUCUUUCUAUUUUAGUAAUAUUUUCGCUAACUAUUUAAAUCUCUUCAGAAUUUUAUAAAUGUAUAAUAAUUUAUAAAAUUUCAAAUUCUGCAGGAAAAAAAUUAAUUAAUCGCAAAUGACUUGCAAAUUUGCGACGGAACAAGCCUCGCAAUUUUGCGACGGAAUAAAACCCUUGCAAAAUUGCGACGAAACUGUUAAUUGCAAAACUGCGAGGAACAACUAAACCGUCGCAAAUUUUUGCGAGGAAAUCAGUUCCGUCGCAAAUUUGCGAGGAAUAUCAUUCUGUCGCAAAUUUGCAAGGAAUUUAUUUCCGUCGCAAAUUUGCGAGCGUUUUGCGAGUGAUUUUCAUUUGCGACGAGCGAUUUGCGAGGGAACGUGGUUUCUCGCAAAAUCCUCGCAAUAAGCGAUUUGCAACGGAAAUGCGAUGCAGUUUUCCCUUGCAACUGACGUGUUUUCUUGUAGUGAUCGUUAUAGAAGCUAUGUGUACGAGCCAAAGGAAAGUAAUUGGGAAACAGGCGAUAUUCUGAAUUCUAAGCAUUGGGUGAAUGCAUGUGUGGUUGAUGAUGUAUUAAUGUACAACCACUACAAGAAAACAGCGGUAUUCUGACGGACAUUCCGACGGAAAAUGAAAUCUUCGGAAUAUCCCGAGGAAUUUUCGAGGAAAUUCCGAGGAAACACAAAAUUUGGUUUCUUCGGAAUUUCCUCGGAAUAUACCGACGGAAUU